GGGGGGGGCGCGGCGGGGCCCCAGCCCUGAGCCGCCUGUGCCCGUGCCAGGUCGGGGAGAAGACGCCCGAGUCCCAGCGGCAGGCGUGCGCGGGGCACCUGCCGGCCAUCAGAGCCUUCUUCAGGGAGGCCAGCGUGGUGCUGAGCGCCCGGCGCGCCGAGGAGGUGACCCAGGAGGGGCUGAGCCGCGCUCUGGCCCAGCUGGCCCCCGCCGCGGCCCCCCCGGCCAGGAGGGCCCCCCCGGCCGACACCGAGGAGCUGGUGGGCACCAACUACCGCAAGACGAACCCGGCGCUGGAGAUCCGCCGGACGCAGCGGGACUCCUUCUGGGCGCAGGCCGAGCGCGAAGAGGAGCAGCGCAAGGAGGAGGAGCGGCGGCGGCUGCUGGAGGAGCGGCGGCGGUGGGAGCGGGAGCGGAUGGAGGAGGAGAGGCGGGAGGCGGCCGAGCGCGAGCAGCGCUUCAGGGAGAAGGAGCGGCUGAUCGAGGAGCACCGGAAGGAGCAGGCGCGGCUGGAGGCGGAGGAGCGGAGGAAGGAGAAAGCCCGCUGGGUGAGCGGGGACGGGGACGGGGCACGGGGGG
rnacentral:lncRNA from 1 species